rnacentral:rRNA from 1 species
GACGAACGCUUUCUUCGUGCUUAACACAUGCAAGUCGAACGAUGAAGAAAAGAAUUGAAGCUUCGGCAGAAAUUCAUUUCGGAUUAGUGGCAGACGGGUGAGUAACGCGUGAGCAACCUACCUCUUACAAAGGGAUAGCCUCGGGAAACCGGGAUUAAUACCAUAUAACAUUGCGACGAAGCAUUUCGAUGCAGUCAAAGCUACGGCGGUAAGAGAUGGGCUCGCGUCCCAUUAACCAGAUGGUGAGGUAACGGCUCACCAUAGUAACGAUGGGUAACCGGCCUGAGAGGGUGAACGGUCACACUGGAACUGAGACACGGUCCAGACUCCUACGGGAGGCAGCAGUGGGGAAUAUUGCACAAUGGAGGGAACUCUGAUGCAGCGACGCCGCGUGAGUGAUGAAGGAAUUCGUUUCGUAAAACUCUGUUCUAUGGGAAGAAAAUGACUGUACCAUAGGAGAAAGCUCCGGCUAAAUACGUG